rnacentral:lncRNA from 1 species
GCAAAUAAAAAAACUUAAUGUCUUGAUCAAGACCAAGGAUUAAAAUAUCGAUAUCGGAAGAUAUAUCGGUCAUUUGAAAAAGGGAGAUUUCAGAUAUAUCGGGGAUAUAUCGGGGAAACCCGAGAAAAAAAUAUCAGUAUUUUGGGGAGAAUUUUUUUUCUAAAAUAUUUAAUUUAUUGAAUUUAUAUAUAAAUAUUACAAAUAUCAACUUCAUCUACAUCCAGAAUGAGAAUCUAGGUCAUUGAUAAGAGUCAUAAGACACACGCUGAUCCACAAAAGUACAAUAAUCAGAUCAAGACAUAUGACUCAUAUAGUACAAAUUGUAGUGUUGAAUAUGAUAAUCAUAUAUGUCUUUGGAGCUGCCGACUGUUUCCCCUAUAAGUGGAUAGUAAGGAUGAAUCUAAUUGAAUGACUGAUCACUGACUUCCGCGCAUUGAUUAUAGCCAUAAACAUUAUAGCCAUAUUGAUUGUUGCCUUCUUGGGAUUCAUUUAAGGUUCAGUCCCACUACCUAAACUGACAGAAUCAAAACUUAGCGCAACUGAAGCAACAUCUUGAUCAUCAUUUGGACCUCUAGUCCUCUUCCCAUACAUGGUAUCCUCUUGCGCUCCAUAUCUAGUACUUCUAUAGCCAUGAUCGUAAUUUUCUUUGGAUGAAAAAUUGUUCAAUCCACCAACUGUAGAAGAUUGUCCAUAUACAAACCUGGUGCCAGUAUUUCCACCACCUUUUCCGCUUCCACCAUCUUCAUCAUUAUCUGAACUAUCCGGAGUUGUUGUGCCGCCCCAUGCAUCAUCACUGUCUAAAUUAUCUUCUGGGUUUCCAACAACUUCUUCAAAUAAUACCCUUGUACAUUGAUUCCAUUGGCAGUUGCAAUUUCAACCACUUCAGGAGGUGGAUUGCCACGGAUAAUUGUGUUAUGUAUCUUAUGUCACGGACUCACGGUCUCACACUCUCACCAAUACACUUGAGUUCUCUAUCUUAUACUCAUUAUCUUUCUCAAGUGUAAAUAUUCCUCUACUGUCCACUCAUCUCCAAGUUUGAUAAUUGUGUAAUAGAUCGAUCUGCAUCCAGAUGUAUCUAAAAAGGAAUCAUGUUCUUCUCGAGAGUCGAGACCACCACUCUUCAUUGGGAUACACCUCGAGGGAAUUACUUCUCUUCCGGAUGACAUUUCAAUUUUUUACAGAUAUUUUUUUAAUAUGUCGGUGAUAUAUCGAAAAUAUCAUAAAUGUCGGAGAUAUUUCCUAAUAUCGGUGAUAUUUGACGAUAUUUCCUAAAUAUCGGGGAAAUAUCGUAGAUACGGUGAAAGAUAAGAUAUUGACCCCUAUAGAUAUAUCGGUUCUUCGAAAAAAGGAGAUAUCGGAGGAUAUAUCGGAUAUAUCGCAGAGAUUUUAAUCCUUGAUAAGACAAUGAUGAGAUGGCAAAUACCAGAUGCUGCGAGAUGGUGCAUGUAUCCAUAAUUGUUCGUAUGCUAUCAGCAAUGGCCAUUAAACACAACAUAGAGCCUCAGUAUCGUCGUCCCACCAAUAAGCAUUUGUUUCAGCAUGAUCCCGAGGUCUCUAUAAAUACUACCAAAAGCCUCACUGAUAUAUAUAUAUAUAUAUAUAUAUAUAUAUAUAUAUAUAUAUAU